GAAGUCGCCUGUCGAUCAGUUAACCGCUAGUCACCCGCGCGCGCGGUGUUCGUUAGUAGCGUUGUUGCGCGUCGUUGACAGAAAAUUCGCAUCGUGCCAAAGUGUCUCCUUUAUUUUCGCAACUGGCAUAGUAUAAAGGUGUAAAGGUGCCAUAUAUGAUAAAUGAAUCUAAAUUACAAAACUGACUGUGACAAUAGGCCGGUUGUUAAUUGGCUGCAAAAUGAAUUCCAGCAAAGAGGCAAAGAGCACCGUGAAGGGACAAAAGAAGUUACAAAAGACCAACAAAAAGCAGCAACAGAAACAACAGCUGCAGCAACAGCAACAACAGCAGCAACAGCAGCAACAACAACAGCAGCAGCAACAGCCAACCAUAAAUAGUACUAAGAACGGGAUCUGUAAAGCUGCCACGAAUGCAAAACUCAAGCCCAACGAUUCAAAGGCCAAUAAUCGCAGCAGCACCAACAACAACAACAAUAGCAACAACAACAACAACAACAUGGUGCACAAGAACAACAAUUCGCAAUCGAUGAGCGGAACAACAGCUGCAGCGACACCAAACAUUACGCAAAUGUUUAAGGAACAGUACGAUGCAGAGCGACGUGCCACAAUGUCACAGGUGGAUUCAGUGCCCAAGAUGGAGCGUACGCAUAGCUUUCGGAUGAAGAUGUCCAAGUUCUUUAACAACUUCACUGGCAGCAAGGAGAAUCUGGCGCGCAGCGACGAGUCCAAAGAUGAGGCGGGCAAAACGCCGUUCACGUUCACGCGAAGUCGUUCGAUGAUAUUGCUGCGACGUCCGAAUCGGCGCAGUUUUAUUGAGCCGCAGCUGGAGCAGCUGUCGGAGGAGGCGGAGAAGUCGGGUGAUCCACUGAUGCCAGCAUCGCCGCGCAAGAAUUCGCUGGCCGAGGACGGCGCAACCAAUACCAGCUGUUCGCCCAUAUUGCGACGCCGUGCGGACACCUCCAGCUCAAUAAAUACGCCAGCUCGACGGCAGUCCACACAGGCGCUGACCUCCACACCCGUCGAGGACUCCGCGGAGGCAUCCAUGCAGCGCAAGCCAUCGCUUAUAUCACUGACACCUGCCGAAAGCAACUACAAUCCGCAGCUCAACUUUCAGAAACGUCGCUCCAGCACGCUCAUCGCGUCGUUCAAGAGCACGCUGAUUGGGCUGACGGAGAAGCCAGAGAAGAAGGAGAAGAAAGACAAAAAAGACAAGCUGAAUCCCAAGUGGAGCGCCUCGCUGCAAUCGCUGCAAGCGAUUGAUAACAUGGUCAGCUAUGCCAAUAUGUCAUUCAUUGACUACGACAAGUUCAAUGGCUAUGAGAAGCAGCUGGAGCGCCAGCAGUCCAUCAUGAGUCUAGCCGAGCAGCAGAUGCCCCCCGCCCACACGCUCCAGUUGCCAUUGACCACCCACCACUCGCAGCUCAACUCAUCCUCGCCCCUGGGCGAACUAAGUGGGAGUGCAGCUGGAGCUGGGACUGUCAGUCUGCCCUUGCCGCACACGCCCUCCUUCGUGGGCUCCUCAUCCAUGGAGAGCACGCCGAAGACAGUGGUGAUGCGACGCAAGCGAAGCAGCAGCUCGGCGCUCGCGCGCCAGCAGUCCGCCUCGACGCGCAACAGCAGCCAGAGUUCCUUUAACCUGGAUACGGACUUCGAGCACAACCUGGACAGAGUUCACAAUGUCUAUCGCGAAAGCCUGGACUCACGCACCCUGGAGCUGCUCAAUCAGCGUUCGCGCAACUCCUUCAUUCAGGACCAGCCAAUGCUCUUCGACGCCCUCAACCUGGAGGAUGGCUCUGCGAACCGGCGCUGUGCGCUCUGCGCCCAGAGUGUCGCGAGAGCCAACAGCUUCAAGCAGCAGCGCGACGCGGUGGAUGGGCGCGGGAAGCCCAAAAUACAGGUAAUUGAAAUCCAUAUGGCAUACUCCAUCCAAGAUAUUUAUGUGCGCGUGUGUGUGUGUGAAGACGUAACGCAACGAAGCGAGCAACAAAUAAUUUUUCAAAAAUAAAUGUACGGUAAGAGGCAGGCACUCGCUAUAAGGAAGAAAGCGCGCAAAAAGUAUAAAUAAGCCGAUAUCAAAAUGCUUUUAAACUAACUAAGCUAAUCAACAAUUAACCAACUUAAAUGAACUAAUUAAGCAAUAGAAUGCAUAUAAAUAAUAUAUAGUUUUAACACUUAAAAUAGGGCACAAGCGAAUUCGAAUAAUUCAUUGUGUCUCUGUUGGGGAAAACCAAACGCUUCUUAACUUAAUGAGUGUAAAGUUAAUUACAAAUUAAGAGCGAAUUAAGUCUAUUGAGUCAUCCUGAAGCCAA